UCCGGUUUGUCACCGGCAGUCCCAUUAGAGUGCCCAACUGAAUGUGGCAACUAAUGGCAAGGGUUGCGCUCGUUGCGGGACUUAACCCAACAUCUCACGACACGAGCUGACGACAGCCAUGCAGCACCUGUCUCCAGGUUCCCGAAGGCACCCCCACAUCUCUGCGGGGUUCCUGGGAUGUCAAGACCAGGUAAGGUUCUUCGCGUUGCAUCGAAUUAAACCACAUGCUCCACCGCUUGUGCGGGUCCCCGUCAAUUUCUUUGAGUUUUAACCUUGCGGCCGUACUCCCCAGGCGGAUGACUUAACGCGUUAGCUGCGCCACCGACAAGUAAACUUGCCAACGGCUAGCUUCCAUCGUUUACGGCGUGGACUAC
rnacentral:misc_RNA from 1 species